GCAACCUGGCGGCAUCCUAAUCAUGCCAUUACCUCGCUGACCAAUUUAACUUGCUAGAGUGUGAUGAGUUACUAACGGGUGAUUAACGCGUAUGUAACCUGCCUGGUAGCGGGGGAUAACUAUUGAAAACGAUAGCUCAUACCGCAUAACACCUUUGACUGCUAUGGUCUGAGCUUGAAAGGAACAAAUGUUUCAAUACCAGAUGGACCUGCGUUUUAUUACCUGGUUGGUGAGGUAACGGCUCAUCAAGGCGACCAUACAUAGCCCAUCUGACACGGUGAUCGGCCACACUACGACUGACACACCGCCCACACUCCUACGGGACGUAGCAGUAGGGAAUCUUCCUUUAUGGGGGCAACCUUGACCGAGCAACGCCGCGUGUAUGAACAAGGUUUUCAGAUCGUACAGCUCUGUUGGAACUCAAUAAUAGGCGUGAGAGUGCAUAGUCCACACUAUCACGGUAACUUACCAUGAAAUGGACUGCUGACUACUUGCCCUCAUCCACGGUAAU
rnacentral:rRNA from 1 species